rnacentral:tRNA from 6 species
GCGUGAAUAGCUCAGCUGGUAGAGCGCAACCUUGCCAAGGUUGAGGUCGCGAGUUCGAACCUCGUUUCACGCUCCA